UACGUAGGGACCAAGCGUUGUUCGGAUUUACUGGGCGUAAAGGGCGCGUAGGCGGCGUGGUAAGUCAGCUGUGAAAUCUCCGAGCUUAACUCGGAACGGUCAGCUGAUACUGCUGUGCUAGAGUACAGAAGGGGCAAUCGGAAUUCUUGGUGUAGCAGUGAAAUGCGUAGAUAUCAGGAGGAAUACCCGAUGGCGAAGGCAGGGUCUCUGGGCUGACACUGACGCUCGAUGCACGAAAGCGUGGGGAGCAAACAGG
rnacentral:rRNA from 1 species